CCUACGGGUGGCAGCAGUGGGGAAUCUUGCGCAAUGGCCGAAAGGCUGACGCAGCGACGCCGCGUGUGGGAGGAAGCUCUUCGGGGUGUAAACCACUGUUGCCCGGGACGAACACACUCAUUCGUGAGUGCUGACGGUACCGGGUGAGGAAGCACCGGCUAACUCUGUGCCAGCAGCCGCGGUAAUACAGAGGGUGCGAGCGUUGUCCGGAAUCACUGGGCGUAAAGGGCGCGUAGGCGGUCCGGUAAGCGUGUGGUGAAAGCCCGGGGCUCAAC
rnacentral:rRNA from 1 species